UACGUAGGGUGCAAGCGUUGUCCGGAAUUAUUGGGCGUAAAUGGCUCGUAGGCGGUCCGUCACGUCGGGAGUGAAAACUUGGGGCUUAACCCCAAGCCUGCUUCCGAUACGGGCGGACUAGAGGUAGGCAGGGGAGAACGGAAUUCCUGGUGUAGCGGUGAAAUGCGCAGAUAUCAGGAGGAACACCGGUGGCGAAGGCGGUUCUCUGGGCCUUACCUGACGCUCAUGCACGAAAGCGUGGGGAGCAAACAGG
rnacentral:rRNA from 1 species